AAUGGGCGAAAGCCUGAUGCAGCAACGCCGCGUGAGCGAUGAAGGCCUUCGGGUCGUAAAGCUCUGUCCUCAAGGAAGAUAAUGACGGUACUUGAGGAGGAAGCCCCGGCUAACUACGUGCCAGCAGCCGCGGUAAUACGUAGGGGGCUAGCGUUAUCCGGAAUUACUGGGCGUAAAGGGUGCGUAGGUGGCCUUUUAAGUUGGAUGUGAAAUACCCGAGCUUAACUUGGGGGGUGCAUCUAAUACUGGGAGGCUAGAGUGCAGGAGAGGGAAGCGGAAUUCCUAGUGUAGCGGUGAAAUGCGUAGAUAUUAGGAGGAACACCAGUGGCGAAGGCGGCUUUCUGGACUGUAACUGACACUGAGGCACGAAAGCGUGGGGAGCAAA
rnacentral:rRNA from 1 species